rnacentral:tRNA from 2 species
GGCGCGGUAGCUCAGGGGUUAGAGCGGGCGUUUCAUAAGCGCUAGGUCGCAGGUUCAAUUCCUGCCCGCGCCA